AAAGUUGUUUGUAUGGUAUUCUCUGAGUGGUCUUUCAUUUCUCAUACCGUUCUUUCUAUCUUUUUAUCUAUCUUCUACACCAUUGCUGCUAAGCGUUGAAGACCUUUCUUAUCACCCUCCUUAUCAACACUCUCUAUCUCUUUCUAGCCUUCCUCCUCUGGUUCCUCCUCGCAGUUUCCGUUAGUAUUGGACUCUUAGCUGCUCAGCAAGAGGGUCAU